UACGAAGGGGGCUAGCGUUGUUCGGAAUUACUGGGCGUAAAGGGCGCGUAGGCGGUACUUCAAGUCAGAUGUGAAAGCCCCGGGCUCAACCUGGGAAUUGCAUUUGAGACUGCAUAGCUAGGGUGCGGAAGAGGGAAGCGGAAUUUCCGGUGUAGCGGUGAAAUGCGUAGAUAUCGGAAGGAACACCAGUGGCGAAAGCGGCUUCCUGGUCCAGCACCGACGUUCAGGCACGAAAGCGUGGGGAGCAAACAGG
rnacentral:rRNA from 1 species